rnacentral:lncRNA from 1 species
UAAGGCCACACUGAGGGGCCUGGAGGCAGCUUGCAGCUCGAGGUUGGAGUCGAGUUUCAGCACAGCUCAGUGAUGAUGAAAUCUGACUCAGGGUCACACUGUCAAAUCCCCAGUUCUGCAAUUAACUCAUCAUCUCACUUAGCUCCUUCCUGCUUCUGCUGCCUUAUUGUAACUUAAGUAUCAGCAGCUACCACAUAGUGGCUACUACUACUUAAUUUGUGGAUUUUUCUAAAGCAUUAUAACGACACCUAUAAGAUGAAAAGCGUUAAAUAAAAAUUUUAUCUUAGUUCUUAAAUCCCAGUUUCACAAUUUUUAUCAUGCUGGUCACCAUAGUACAGAGGAAGCACAGCUUGUAAAUCUGGCUGUAGAAGAUGCCAAGAAUGUCCAUACAGAAAGAAGUUCAAUAAAGACAGAGCUUAUCUGGGUUGAUGAUGCCCUGCACAAAAUUACAUAUUUAAAUUUUACUUUUUAUAGGCUGUAUCACUGUAUGUCCCUGUAUGUCCUGAGAAGUUGCACUACUACAGCCUAAGAAACAUCUUAGAUGGCAUCCCUGUUAUCAGAGACAAGUACUUCAUAAUUGGACUAUCUCAAGGAAAAAAAAAAGAGGAGCAAGGAUUGAAGAAAAACCCUGCAGCUAUGCCAGGUUUGCAAAAGUGUUACUGGGGGCCAAAGUCCUCAGUCAGUGCGUAUUGCUAAGAAGUCACAUACCACACCACAGGAGAGUGACAAAAUGUUUGGACUCCUUUGCAAACACGGCUACAGAGAAGUCACCCUUAGUGUCCUGCAGUGAGGUGGAGAAGAGCAGCAUCUGUGACAGGCAGCUCACAGUCCUAGACCACCAGAAUCAGUGAAGAUGACAUACAUCUGGACAGCAUGUGCACUUCUGCCCUGGGAGGAGACCCUGCUCACCCUUCUUGCUCUCGCUCUGCUGGUAUCAUUUAUGUCCUAGACCACCAGAAUCAGUGAAGAUGACACACAUCUGGACAGCGUAUGCACUUCUGCCCUGGGAGGAGACCCUGCUCACUCUUCUUGCUCUCACUCUGCUGGUAUCAUUUACGGGUUGUGAUGUAAAGCAGAGGAAAUGGGGAGUGUAAAUACCGAUCUCACUCUGAAAAGGAUCUGGUUUCCUCAGGUACAGUUCGUGCUUAUCAUUCUUGCGCAAAAGCUAGUAGGUCACAGCUGGUUAAACAAACCCUGCCCAAUUAUAAUUUCCAUGUUUACAACAGAGAGUACUUAACCUUUUAUUACUCCUUUCCACCCAAAUCAAAGGUCUAAUUUUUUGCAUUCAAUUUUACUUUGUUCUUUUUUCAGAGUAAAAGAAAAAGGAAAGCAUUAAAACCCUGUAAAACUCACUUCAAAAGGACUUGAACCUAAUCUCCAAGAUUAACUGAUGUCUCUUAUUUCAGAAUGUACUAACUGCAUAUUAUACUUCAUGUAUAUGAAGACAAGAAAUGGCAUAUUGUAUAUAAAAACAGGAAAACGCAUUAUUCAUGUAAUAAAUGUUGUUUUUUCAUGUCUUCUGGCAAAAAAGUGGGCUGCCUACUAGUAAUUGCACAUCAUAUUUUAAAAUAAUGAUGCACAUUUUUAAUGAGUCAGUUGCUGCCUGCCCCCUGUCCCAGCCAGCAAAAGCACAUUCCUGGAGAAAGAGACCCUGAAUGCCCUCAGUGCAGCAGCUCACAUAUAUGCUUUAUAAAUUAGAUGCUUUAAGAAAAUUUAUUCCAAAUGUUGUUCAAAUUCAGCAGGUUUUGAAGGUGAAACCUUUACCUUGUACUCUACACAUCAUAGCUAAGUCAUGUUGUGUCUAAAAUAUGCUUGCUUCAAAUCUGAGAAAUAAAUCUUAUGUUCAAGUAAAAGUUUGACUAAAAUAAAACAACAACAAAAAAGGGAUUUCUGGGAAAUG